GAUGAACGCUGGCGGCGUGCCUAAUACAUGCAAGUCGAGCGAACGGACGAGAAGCUUGCUUCUCUGAUGUUAGCGGCGGACGGGUGAGUAACACGUGGAUAACCUACCUAUAAGACUGGGAUAACUUCGGGAAACCGGAGCUAAUACCGGAUAAUAUUUUGAACCGCAUGGUUCAAAAGUGAAAGACGGUCUUGCUGUCACUUAUAGAUGGAUCCGCGCUGCAUUAGCUAGUUGGUAAGGUAACGGCUUACCAAGGCAACGAUGCAUAGCCGACCUGAGAGGGUGAUCGGCCACACUGGAACUGAGACACGGUCCAGACUCCUACGGGAGGCAGCAGUAGGGAAUCUUCCGCAAUGGGCGAAAGCCUGACGGAGCAACGCCGCGUGGGUGAUGAAGGUCUUCGGAUCGUAAAACUCUGUUAUUAGGGAAGAACAUAUGUGUAAGUAACUGUGCACAUCUUGACGGUACCUAAUCAGAAAGCCACGGCUAACUACGUGCCAGCAGCCGCGGUAAUACGUAGGUGGCAAGCGUUAUCCGGAAUUAUUGGGCGUAAAGCGCGCGUAGGCGGUUUUUUAAGUCUGAUGUGAAAGCCCACGGCUCAACCGUGGAGGGUCAUUGGAAACUGGAAAACUUGAGUGCAGAAGAGGAAAGUGGAAUUCCAUGUGUAGCGGUGAAAUGCGCAGAGAUAUGGAGGAACACCAGUGGCGAAGGCGACUUUCUGGUCUGUAACUGACGCUGAUGUGCGAAAGCGUGGGGAUCAAACAGGAUUAGAUACCCUGGUAGUCCACGCCGUAAACGAUGAGUGCUAAGUGUUAGGGGGUUUCCGCCCCUUAGUGCUGCAGCUAACGCAUUAAGCACUCCGCCUGGGGAGUACGACCGCAAGGUUGAAACUCAAAGGAAUUGACGGGGACCCGCACAAGCGGUGGAGCAUGUGGUUUAAUUCGAAGCAACGCGAAGAACCUUACCAAAUCUUGACAUCCUUUGACAACUCUAGAGAUAGAGCCUUCCUCUUCGGGGGACAAAGUGACAGGUGGUGCAUGGUUGUCGUCAGCUCGUGUCGUGAGGUGUUGGGUUAAGUCCCGCAACGAGCGCAACCCUUAAGCUUAGUUGCCAUCAUUAAGUUGGGCACUCUAAGUUGACUGCCGGUGACAAACCGGAGGAAGGUGGGGAUGACGUCAAAUCAUCAUGCCCCUUAUGAUUUGGGCUACACACGUGCUACAAUGGACAAUACAAAGGGCAGCGAAACCGCGAGGUCAAGCAAAUCCCAUAAAGUUGUUCUCAGUUCGGAUUGUAGUCUGCAACUCGACUACAUGAAGCUGGAAUCGCUAGUAAUCGUAGAUCAGCAUGCUACGGUGAAUACGUUCCCGGGUCU
rnacentral:rRNA from 1 species